rnacentral:rRNA from 1 species
UACGUAGGGGGCAAGCGUUGUCCGGAAUCAUCGGGCGUAAAGCGCGUGUAGGCGGCCUUGUAAGUCCGUUCUGAAAGCCCGGGGCUCAACCCCGGGAGGCGGAUGGAUACUGCAAGGCUCGAGUCCGGAAGAGGCGAGUGGAAUUCCCGGUGUAGCGGUGAAAUGCGCAGAUAUCAGGAGGAACACCGGUGGCGAAGGCGGGUCUCUGGGCCGAUACUGACGCUGAGGAGCGAAAGCGUGGGGAGCGAACAGG